rnacentral:rRNA from 1 species
UACAGAGGUCUCAAGCGUUGUUCGGAUUCAUUGGGCGUAAAGGGUGCGUAGGCGGCGCGGUAAGUCGGGUGUGAAAUCUCGGAGCUUAACUCCGAAACUGCAUUCGAUACUGCCGUGCUUGAGGACUGGAGAGGAGACUGGAAUUCACGGUGUAGCAGUGAAAUGCGUAGAUAUCGUGGGAAGACCAGUUGCGAAGGCGGAUCUCUGGGCAGUUCCUGACACUGAGGCACGAAGGCCAGGGGAGCAAACGGG